AACGCACCUUGCACCCCUUGGUACUCCAGGGGGUAUGCCUGUUUGAGUGUCAUUUUCUUAUCCUCAAUGCAAAUGGCAGUGUCCUUAUGGAUGCUCCCUUUGUAUUGGAAGUGAAGGUCUGCUGGACUCGUUCAGCUCCUUUGAAAUUCAUUAGCAGGGAACAAGGCAAAACCAGCUUCAGUUUGAUAGGGUCUAGCUGUUGCUGUGGAAAGUCUUUCUUUUUGCCCUGCUUUCCGUCUCCUGUGAGACUGUCCAUUUGCUGGGCAUCGUAUCAUAUCUUGACCUCAAAUCAGGUAGGACUACCCGCUGAACUUAA
rnacentral:misc_RNA from 1 species